CUGUACGAUUCAGAGGACGGAGGGGUAUUCAUCGAGUGAGAUAUGUCAGGGAGAGGCCUGAACCCGUCAGAGAUGCUGUACUGAGGGGCAAUCGCCGACACCAGCGAGUGAGAGAUCCGGAAAGCAAGCUGGAGAUCCUCCAAAAGCUGCUGACAAUUG